UACGAAGGGGACUAGCGUUGCUCGGAAUCACUGGGCGUAAAGGGUGCGUAGGCGGGUCUUUAAGUCAGGGGUGAAAUCCUGGAGCUCAACUCCAGAACUGCCUUUGAUACUGAAGAUCUUGAGUGCGGGAGAGGUGAGUGGAACUGCGAGUGUAGAGGUGAAAUUCGUAGAUAUUCGCAAGAACACCAGUGGCGAAGGCGGCUCACUGGCCCGAUACUGACGCUGAGGCACGAAAGCGUGGGGAGCAAACAGG
rnacentral:rRNA from 1 species